rnacentral:rRNA from 2 species
GGGUUGUGAGGUUAAGCGACUAAGCGUACACGGUGGAUGCCCUGGCAGUCAGAGGCGAUGAAGGGCGUGCUAAUCUGCGAUAAGCGCCGGUAAGGUGAUAUGAACCGUUAUAACCGGCGAUACCCGAAUGGGGAAACCCAGUGUGACUCGUCACACUAUCAUUAACUGAAUCCAUAGGUUAAUGAGGCGAACCGGGGGAACUGAAACAUCUAAGUACCCCGAGGAAAAGAAAUCAACCGAGAUUCCCCCAGUAGCGGCGAGCGAACGGGGAGGAGCCCAGAGCCUGAAUCAGCAUGUGUGUUAGUGGAAGCGUCUGGAAAGGCGCGCGAUACAGGGUGACAGCCCCGUACACAAAAGCGCAUGUGCUGUGAGCUCGAUGAGUAGGGCGGGACACGUGGUAUCCUGUCUGAAUAUGGGGGGACCAUCCUCCAAGGCUAAAUACUCCUGACUGACCGAUAGUGAACCAGUACCGUGAGGGAAAGGCGAAAAGAACCCCGGCGAGGGGAGUGAAAAAGAACCUGAAACCGUGUACGUACAAGCAGUGGGAGCACAGGUUUACCUGUGUGACUGCGUACCUUUUGUAUAAUGGGUCAGCGACUUAUAUUCUGUAGCAAGGUUAACCGAAUAGGGGAGCCGGAGGGAAACCGAGUCUUAACCGGGCGUUAAGUUGCAGGGUAUAGACCCGAAACCCGGUGAUCUAGCCAUGGGCAGGUUGAAGGUUGGGUAACACUAACUGGAGGACCGAACCGACUAAUGUUGAAAAAUUAGCGGAUGACCUGUGGCUGGGGGUGAAAGGCCAAUCAAACCGGGAGAUAGCUGGUUCUCCCCGAAAGCUAUUUAGGUAGCGCCUCGUGAAUUCAUCUCCGGGGGUAGAGCACUGUUUCGGCUAGGGGGCCAUCCCGGCUUACCAACCCGAUGCAAACUGCGAAUACCGGAGAAUGUUAUCACGGGAGACACACGGCGGGUGCUAACGUCCGUCGUGAAGAGGGAAACAACCCAGACCGCCAGCUAAGGUCCCAAAGUCAUGGUUAAGUGGGAAACGAUGUGGGAAGGCCCAGACAGCCAGGAUGUUGGCUUAGAAGCAGCCAUCAUUUAAAGAAAGCGUAAUAGCUCACUGGUCGAGUCGGCCUGCGCGGAAGAUGUAACGGGGCUAAACCAUGCACCGAAGCUGCGGCAGCGACGCUGAUGCGUUGUUGGGUAGGGGAGCGUUCUGUAAGCCUGUGAAGGUGGCCUGUGAGGGUUGCUGGAGGUAUCAGAAGUGCGAAUGCUGACAUAAGUAACGAUAAAGCGGGUGAAAAGCCCGCUCGCCGGAAGACCAAGGGUUCCUGUCCAACGUUAAUCGGGGCAGGGUGAGUCGACCCCUAAGGCGAGGCCGAAAGGCGUAGUCGAUGGGAAACGGGUUAAUAUUCCCGUACUUGGUGUUACUGCGAAGGGGGGACGGAGAAGGCUAUGUUGGCCGGGCGACGGUUGUCCCGGUUUAAGCGUGUAGGUGUGUGUUCCAGGUAAAUCCGGUUCACUUUAACACUGAGGCGUGAUGACGAGGCACUACGGUGCUGAAGCAACAAAUGCCCUGCUUCCAGGAAAAGCCUCUAAGCAUCAGGUAACAUCAAAUCGUACCCCAAACCGACACAGGUGGUCAGGUAGAGAAUACCAAGGCGCUUGAGAGAACUCGGGUGAAGGAACUAGGCAAAAUGGUGCCGUAACUUCGGGAGAAGGCACGCUGACACGUAGGUGAAGUGAUUUACUCAUGGAGCUGAAGUCAGUCGAAGAUACCAGCUGGCUGCAACUGUUUAUUAAAAACACAGCACUGUGCAAACACGAAAGUGGACGUAUACGGUGUGACGCCUGCCCGGUGCCGGAAGGUUAAUUGAUGGGGUCAGCGCAAGCGAAGCUCCUGAUCGAAGCCCCGGUAAACGGCGGCCGUAACUAUAACGGUCCUAAGGUAGCGAAAUUCCUUGUCGGGUAAGUUCCGACCUGCACGAAUGGCGUAAUGAUGGCCAGGCUGUCUCCACCCGAGACUCAGUGAAAUUGAACUCGCUGUGAAGAUGCAGUGUACCCGCGGCAAGACGGAAAGACCCCGUGAACCUUUACUAUAGCUUGACACUGAACAUUGAGCCUUGAUGUGUAGGAUAGGUGGGAGGCUUUGAAGUGUGGACGCCAGUCUGCAUGGAGCCGACCUUGAAAUACCACCCUUUAAUGUUUGAUGUUCUAACGUGGACCCGUGAUCCGGGUUGCGGACAGUGUCUGGUGGGUAGUUUGACUGGGGCGGUCUCCUCCUAAAGAGUAACGGAGGAGCACGAAGGUUGGCUAAUCCUGGUCGGACAUCAGGAGGUUAGUGCAAUGGCAUAAGCCAGCUUGACUGCGAGCGUGACGGCGCGAGCAGGUGCGAAAGCAGGUCAUAGUGAUCCGGUGGUUCUGAAUGGAAGGGCCAUCGCUCAACGGAUAAAAGGUACUCCGGGGAUAACAGGCUGAUACCGCCCAAGAGUUCAUAUCGACGGCGGUGUUUGGCACCUCGAUGUCGGCUCAUCACAUCCUGGGGCUGAAGUAGGUCCCAAGGGUAUGGCUGUUCGCCAUUUAAAGUGGUACGCGAGCUGGGUUUAGAACGUCGUGAGACAGUUCGGUCCCUAUCUGCCGUGGGCGCUGGAGAACUGAGGGGGGCUGCUCCUAGUACGAGAGGACCGGAGUGGACGCAUCACUGGUGUUCGGGUUGUCAUGCCAAUGGCACUGCCCGGUAGCUAAAUGCGGAAGAGAUAAGUGCUGAAAGCAUCUAAGCACGAAACUUGCCCCGAGAUGAGUUCUCCCUGAGACUUAAAGUCUCCUGAAGGAACGUUGAAGACGACGACGUUGAUAGGCCGGGUGUGUAAGCGCAGCGAUGCGUUGAGCUAACCGGUACUAAUGAACCGUGAGGCUUAACCUUACAACGCCGAAG